AAAAUCAUUCCGCGUGACAUGCUUGCAAUUUGUGAUAAAAUCAUUCCGCGUGACAUGCUUGCAAUCUGUGAACGGGCUGUUUUUAUAUGGGCGAACCAGCCCGGAUACCCAAACUGACUCGCCUAAGUAAGAUCCCACGUCGACUGACCCGAAAUCUCGGGUGGCCGGGCUAAACGUGUAAACGCAAUUACCCGAGCUGGAUCGCUUUAGCGGGCUGAGUGUAUUGCUCUGUUCAUUCUGGUUGUAAAUAAGAAUUUUUCCACAGAUUUCAAUCUUAAAAGGUCUCCGUGAACGAUUCUGUGUGCAUAACCCUUCAUAUUAUACUAUUUAAUAUAAACGUGUAUAUAUAAUGUAAACACAGGAUGAAAUCAGCGCGGCAAAAGCUCGCUUCCAUAUAAACACCCCCUUAGUUAAUGUGUUCGACCAUAAAUGUCUGCGGUUUCGAAAUUUGCGUCGACGCACAACACAUGUAUAAACACAUACCUCUAUCCAUGCCGGUGGGGGACGUCUCUUGGCCCACAAUUCUGGUUUUCCCUCUAGACAUAUUACAAGGUGUAUCUGGUGCCCUAAACUGCGCGUCGCUUCUCGUUCGUAACACAGGUCUUUUUGAGCGGCUAGGUAGAGAUGCAGUUCUUCGGAAAUUACUGAUGUUUCUGGUUUGAAAUUGUUGAAGUUUUGGAUCUUGUACUGAAAAGCGUCUUAAGUACGGACGGGCACGAGCCACAGCCGCUAGGUCUAG